AACCAUUCUCACCUGCGGCUAGACCUGCGGAAGGAUCAUUACAAGUGACCCCGGUCUAACCACCGGGAUGUUCAUAACCCUUUGUUGUCCGACUCUGUUGCCUCCGGGGCGACCCUGCCUUCGGGCGGGGGCUCCGGGUGGACACUUCAAACUCUUGCGUAACUUUGCAGUCUGAGUAAACUUAAUUAAUAAAUUAAAACUUUCAACAACGGAUCU
rnacentral:misc_RNA from 1 species